AGAGUUUGAUCAUGGCUCAGGAUGAACGCUAGCUACAGGCUUAACACAUGCAAGUCGAGGGGCAGCAUUUUUAGUUUGCUUGCAAACUAAAGAUGGCGACCGGCGCACGGGGUGAGUAACACGUAUCCAACCUGCCGAUAACUCGGGGAUAGCCUUUCGAAAGAAAGAUUAAUAUCCGAUGGUAUAUUUUCUCCGCAUGGUGAGAAUAUUAAAGAAUUUCGGUUAUCGAUGGGGAUGCGUUCCAUUAGUUUGUUGGG
rnacentral:rRNA from 1 species